UAUUUUGUAAAGUUGUUCUAGUUUUGUAACUAAAAUGGUUUGGCAGUGAGCGAUUCUUAUUAGGGGAAUAUGCAUAGUGAAGGAUGGUCCACCUAUUAGUUUACUCUUUUUAUGUUGGUGUAUGUCUGGUUUGAUAUUAUUGUUGAAUAAUUUAAGUUUGUGUAGUUUUAGUUAAGCUAAGUCUAUGUGCUGCUUAUGGGAGUUUUUGUGUGUUACAUUAAUAAGGGUGUUAUUGUAAGAUGAUGUGAUUUAG
rnacentral:rRNA from 1 species